rnacentral:rRNA from 1 species
CCUACGUGUGGCAGCAGUGAGGAAUAUUGGUCACUGGACGCAAGUCUGAACCAGCCAUGCCGCGUGCAGGAAGACGGCUCUAUGAGUUGUAAACUGCUUUUGUACGAGGGUAAACGCAGAUACGCGUCUCUGUCUGCAAGUAUCUUACGAAUCAGGAUCGGCUAACUCCGUGCCAGCAGCCGCGGUAAUACGGAGGAUUCAAGCGUUAUCCGGAUUUAUUGGGUUUAAAGGGUUCGUAGGCGGUCUGAGAAGUUAGAGGUGAAAUCCCGAGGCUCAACUUCGGAAUUGCCUCUGAUACUGUUCGGCUAGAGAGUAGUGGCGGGAGGCUGAAUGUAUGUUGUAGCGGUGAAAUGCUUAGAGAUCAUACAGAACACCGAUUGCGAAGGCAGCGUACCAAGCUACUUCUGACGUUGAGGCACGAAAGCGUGGGGAGCAAACAGGAUUAGAUACCCUUGUAGUC